GGAGGGUACAGCUCAAGUGGUAUAGCAUGUGCUUAGCAUGCACGAGGUCCUGGGUUCAAUCCCCAGCACCUCCU
rnacentral:tRNA from 1 species